CCUACGGGCGGCUGCAGUGGGGAAUAUUGCACAAUGGGCGCAAGCCUGAUGCAGCCAUGCCGCGUGUGUGAAGAAGGCCUUCGGGUUGUAAAGCACUUUCAGCGGGGAGGAAGGCGGUGAGGUUAAUAACCUCAUCGAUUGACGUUACCCGCAGAAGAAGCACCGGCUAACUCCGUGCCAGCAGCCGCGGUAAUACGGAGGGUGCAAGCGUUAAUCGGAAUUACUGGGCGUAAAGCGCACGCAGGCGGUCUGUCAAGUCGGAUGUGAAAUCCCCGGGCUCAACCUGGGAACUGCAUUCGAAACUGGCAGGCUAGAGUCUUGUAGAGGGGGGUAGAAUUCCAGGUGUAGCGGUGAAAUGCGUAGAGAUCUGGAGGAAUACCGGUGGCGAAGGCGGCCCCCUGGACAAAGACUGACGCUCAGGUGCGAAAGCGUGGGGAGCAAACAGGAUUAGUUACCCCAGUAGUC
rnacentral:rRNA from 1 species